GGUGAGUAAUGCAUCGGAACGUGCCCGGUCGUGGGGGAUAACACUUCGAAAGAAGUGCUAAUACCGCAUACGAUCUGAGUAUGAAAGCGGGGGACCGUAAGGCCUCGCGCGAUCGGAGCGGCCGAUGUCAGAUUAGGUAGUUGGUGGGGUAAAGGCCUACCAAGCCGACGAUCUGUAGCUGGUCUGAGAGGACGACCAGCCACACUGGGACUGAGACACGGCCCAGACUCCUACAGGAGGCAGCAGUGGGGAAUUUUGGACAAUGGGCGCAAGCCUGAUCCAGCAAUGCCGCGUGCAGGAAGAAGGCCUUCGGGUUGUAAACUGCUUUUGUACGGAGCGAAAAGGCUCUCUCUAAUACAGGGGGCUGAUGACGGCACCGUAAGAAUAAGCACCGGCUA
rnacentral:rRNA from 1 species